rnacentral:rRNA from 1 species
AUUGAACGCUGGCGGCAUGCUUUACACAUGCAAGUCGAACGGCAGCACGGGCUUCGGCCUGGUGGCGAGUGGCGAACGGGUGAGUAAUGCAUCGGAACGUACCGUGUAAUGGGGGGAUAACGUAGCGAAAGUUACGCUAAUACCGCAUACGCCCUGAGGGGGAAAGCGGGGGAUCGUAAGACCUCGCGUUAUACGAGCGGCCGAUGUCGGAUUAGCUAGUUGGUGGGGUAAAGGCCUACCAAGGCGACGAUCCGUAGCGGGUCUGAGAGGAUGAUCCGCCACACUGGGACUGAGACACGGCCCAGACUCCUACGGGAGGCAGCAGUGGGGAAUUUUGGACAAUGGGCGCAAGCCUGAUCCAGCCAUGCCGCGUGAGUGAAGAAGGCCUCGGUUGUAAG